rnacentral:rRNA from 1 species
GACGAACGCUGGCGGCGUGCCUAAUACAUGCAAGUAGAACGCUGAAGAGAGGAGCUUACUCUUCUUGGAUGAGUUGCGAACGGGUGAGUAACGCGUAGGUAACCUGCCUUGUAGCGGGGGAUAACUAUUGGAAACGAUAGCUAAUACCGCAUAACAAUGGAUGACACAUGUCAUUUAUUUGAAAGGGGCAAUUGCUCCACUACAAGAUGGACCUGCGUUGUAUUAGCUAGUAGGUGAGGUAAUGGCUCACCUAGGCGACGAUACAUAGCCGACCUGAGGGGGGGAUCGGCCACAUGGGGACUGAGCCACGGCCCAGACUCCUAGGGAAGGAGGCAGAGGGGAAUCUUCGGCAAUGGGGGCACCCUGACCGAGCAACGCCGCGUGAGUGAAGAAGGUUUUCGGAUCGUAAAGCUCUGUUGUAAGUCAAGAACGGGUGUGAGAGUGGAAAGUUCACACUGUGACGGUAGCUUACCAGAAAGGGACGGCUAACUACGUG